rnacentral:sRNA from 1 species
GGUUUGGUGCGAUCGCGUGAGACGCGUCAGGUGCUUGAUUUCCCUGAGUCCCGGUGCCUCAGCUGCCCAGUGCCCACGUUCGUAAGAAGGCAACAAGUUCUUCUCCUCUACAGAAGGAUUUUGCAAACAAUUCGGCAAGUUCCAAAUGAUUCUGAUCGCAAAUACCUGAAAGAUUGGGCAAGAGAAGAAUUCAAAAGAAACAAAAGUGCCACCGAAGAGUAGCCUCCAACUGAUUCUCCAGCUUGUUGAUUAGAGGUUCACAUCGACAACCAUUUAUUGGUGCCUAAGAGAGAAACAAAAAGGAAUCAAUCCCUUGUUCAUUCCUUCAUCAGGCUUCGCCCACGACUGAAGCGCAAGACCUGAAGGAGGCAAACGGCAUUGUUACAACCACUGGUGUGCGCAGCAUCUGUGUGAGAGAAUUCUCCUUGGACCAGGGGCUCUGACCUAAUGGAAUUUACAGCCUAGAGGGUGAGAGCAGGUGUUCACAUCAAGCAAGCACCUCUGGACCACCUACCAUCCUCCCAGGUCUUGUCCUGGGCACCACAGGGACUCGGAGACAGGCAGCUGGGAUUCCCAGAGAAAAUUCUGCGAAACCCAUGCUGAAGAGAAGAGGAACCAAGGCCAGAGGCCAAAUGCACCUUAGCAGAGAGCUCCUGGAGAGAAGGCUAGAAAGAUAAGAAACUGAGGCUCAAAGAAGUUAACCAACUUGCACAAUUAGCAAACAAAGCAGAGUUCAAAUCUGUGAGCAGGUGCCCUAACUACAGAGUCUGCACUCUCUCCCAUUUGUGAUUGCCUGGGCCCUGGAAAGUGCUAUGGGUAGAUCAUACAAGCUCUGAGUUAAG